GACGAACGCUGGCGGCGUGCUUAACACAUGCAAGUCGAACGAUGAAGCCGGAGCUUGCUCUGGUGAAUUAGUGGCGAACGGGUGAGUAACACGUGAGUAACCUGCCCCUGACUCUGGGAUAACUGCGGGAAACUGUAGCUAAUACCGGAUACGACCCUCGGAGGCAUCUCCAGGGGGUGGAAAGAAUUUCGGUCAAGGAUGGACUCGCGGCCUAUCAGCUAGUUGGUGAGGUAACGGCUCACCAAGGCGACGACGGGUAGCCGGCCUGAGAGGGGGACCGGCCACACUGGGACUGAGACACGGCCCAGACUCCUACGGGAGGCAGCAGUGGGGAAUAUUGCACAAUGGGCGCAAGCCUGAUGCAGCAACGCCGCGUGAGGGAUGACGGCCUUCGGGUUGUAAACCUCUUUUAGUAGGGAAGAAGCGAAAGUGACGGUACCUGCAGAAAAAGCACCGGCUAACUACGUGCCAGCAGCCGCCGUAA
rnacentral:rRNA from 1 species